AGGCUCGGUAGCGCCCUCUCUGACAGAACCGCAUGCGCUUCGUGGAUGAGUGCGCUGAAUAAAUCGAUUCAGAAUUUUGUGGCGGAACCAACAAAAGGUGUGACGAGUGCUCUAAAGAAAUUGAUUCGGAAAUUUGUGAAGGAACCAACAAAAAGUGUGAUCAGGUCUGAGCUGGGACCAAAUUUUGACUCCAUCGGCGAGGCACACGACUUCUACAAUUUAUACUCGUGGGAAGUGGGAUUCGGGAUAAGAUAUGGUAAAAGCAGAUUGAACACGGAGAGAACAAAAUCAACGCAGAAAAUUGUGUGCGGAUUCUCGGGAAGCCUGAAGCUGGUAACAACCAGUCUUGCAGAUGUGAGCGCCUGACGCUGAUCAGUCUCUUGAUUGUGGCAGCCCAACAGUUCGUUUAUAACAGAGCAUUGUGAGGGGAAAGUGCAUUGGCGGUCACAAAAAGUUGUGAACUACAUGCUCACAGUGGACGAGUUUGCAAAUACCUGGACUAUCGAUGGAAAAGUAUAAUCUGAAACAACACCCAUACAAGACACAGCUAUAUGAGAUCAGGACUAAGUGGGUGAAGCCUUAUUUCAAGGGUGUUUUCUGCACAAAAAUGACAAGCACACAGCGCGGCAAGAGUGCCAAUAAUAUGCUGAAGAUAUAUAUGCCUCCUGCUAGUCCAGUCCGACGCACAUGUUCGUGAGGUAGUACAUGGGGCUCCAGUUUGACCAAGAACAUGUUAAGAGCUACGAGGAAAAAAUAACAAUGAUUGCAAAGAGGUGUUGUGCGGCGUACAAACCUUGCGAUCGAUAGGCAUUACAAGCAAGGUUUAUAGUCGAGCCAUGUUCGAGCAGUUUGGUCAGUUCCUUAUUGAGGUAACUGCAUAUAAUGCGAGUGAUAUUGAGAAGGGUAAGAAGUAUUUGAUGACACGUAACAAUGCGACCAAACGGAAGAAGUUGGGCAGAGUAGCCUACGAGGUGACAAUAAAAGAUGACGACACUGAAUACGAGUGUGAGUGCCGACAAUUUGAACACAUGGGGAUUCUUUGCUCCCAUGUGCUCAGGGUAAUGGCCAUGUUCCAUAUUUUUCUGCUGUCCAUACUAAUUAACAUGUGAAAAUGACCACACACUUGAAUGAGGAAGCUUACACCGACUAUCUGUUUUUGAAUGGGCAGGUAAUGGACGUGAACUUGGCUGAAAUACCAGAGAAGCACAUUGUUAAGUUGUGGUCAAAAGACGCAAGGGAUAUACUACCCGGACAUUUGGUCCAUUAUCAGAAGAAUGAAGUAGUGAACCAUUCAUUCACUUGCAGCCUUGCAGGCACUCCACACUAUACCUACAAGUGAUGGGUCUUGUUAGAAUGGGUGAUGCGAGUGUAGGAGCUUUCGGUCGCAUGCCAAGGGCAUGAAAGCACUAAUGCUGAGUUGUGCUCCUUUGGUCGAGAAGAGGGAUGGGCUCGGUUUUGAAGACCGGCAGGCAACACAAUCUGCUGGAAGGAAUGCUCGCCAGGUCGUUGCAGUAGGAGAUGGUUCUCCUACUGAAGAGCAUAGUUUGGGAUUAUCUGGUAGUGUGAAUGCACUGCACGGACUAGCGCAGCCGCUGGUAGGCCGACGAACAGCCGUGGCAAUGAUCCUUACGAGGGUUUGAGCUAGCGGACGAGAUUCUGCAGCAUCUGCUGAAGGCAAGAGCACAAGAGAUACAACUUGCCCUGAACAUGCAGAGGCCUCGAAGCAGCCUCACAAACCCGGGAAGUGCAAGAAUUGUGGAGUUGAGGAGCUCAGGCGUAACACUUGCACAAUGCCUAUGGGUGGCGAUUAGGGGAAUGAACUAGAUGAGACUGAUAUUGUAUGAUUCCAUUAGCGUUUGGAGAUUUUCUGUUGUGUUGUUUGAGCAAUGCUCCAUGCUUGUUCCUCCAGGCUGUAACUGUGUAAGGGACUGACGGAGCUGUAGCACAAUAAGAAGGGGUGUGUGCUUCUGGUAUGAGAGCUUACUGAGCACAUUGGGCUCCGUUUGUAGGGACGUCCGUCGGUGGCAGGCAGCUGGCAGCUCAGGGAGGCCCAGAAAAGGCGCUGGACCAUGAACUAAAGUUCUGUUCCGUCCUUGCCGGUAUGCCAACUGCCCGACAUAAUGCCUGGGGUGCCUUCUUUUUCUUGAGAGAGAUACGAACGGAAUACUACUUGUAAUAAAUGUGUGGCUCGAAUCCCCAUGAAGCUGCAUGGUUGUGA